CUUUAUGGGUGGUCUGGACGGGGAACCGCAAGGUUCGCCGGUUCGCUUUCCCGGUCUGUCAACCCGUCUAGUUCCGCCCACCUGU
rnacentral:antisense_RNA from 1 species